AGCCUUUGUGUUGCCCGUUCACUUUUGGUCACUAGUGAAUGUGGUGUCAAAAAAGGCAUAAAUUAAUACUUAGCAUGCUUUUCUUACCCCGGACUUUGGUAUCUUGGGUGAAGGAACCGCUUAAGUAACAAAG